GGCAGUGGUGGCUUAGCGGUUAAGGCUCCGGGUUAGUAACCGGAAGGGGUUCAAGCCCCAGCACUGCCA